UUCAUAGUUGUGCUUGAGGACGUUCUUUGUAUUUUAGGCGUACCUGAAGUUGAGGUCCUUGAAGGAGAACUGGGUCUCGAUGAUACCGGUGGUCUUCACUCGUGAACGCAGGACGUCCUGCUCAGUAGGGACAUAGCCAGAGUCGUUGAGCUGGUAUUCGGAGGCUCUGUCAAAGCACGCCUGGAUGCCCGAGUCCUUCCACAACCUCAGGAUAAUGUCAGACAGCUCUUUUGGCAUGGUGCCUUCCUCGAUGGUGUCUGCUAAGUGCAUCAACCUCCUUGCAUCAUCCUGCAAAAAAGUAAUCAAUGUCAUGGUGACACAUGUUUUUACUUAACUUUUUAAAACUCAUAUCAUCUUCAUUUUUUAAGUAAUACAGGAUUCAACUUGAUAUUUUAAAUAAGCAAUUUGAUUAUAGGUUUUUAAGUAAGGGUUUUUUCAGCUUGUAACUAAAGGUGUUUAAGUAUUAGCUACCAUCCAGACUUCUCUAUAGUGAUAUGGAAAUUCACUGUUAACAAAAACAAUGUUUUUAAAAAUAAUGAACACGUCCUGAAUUUAUAAUACAUUGUUUGCUAUCAGGUGAAUUUAGUAAUUAACCACAUUUACACUUGGUUGUCAUCACAAACAAGUCAGUUACAUUUACUACUCUAGCUACAUGCCAUGUGUUUUAUUUCUUAUCCUGAAGUAUUUUGAAUUAUAACAAAGAAACAAAAAGUACCAUGGUAUGGUUAUAUUUGGACCUACUUUGUACUUUAUGUUUCUUUAACUACUAUAUACUAGCAUUUAUAGUUGAUUCAAUUUAUUGUGUUUGCCACAUCUGUAAUUAACUCCAUUGAACCUACCUCUACCAAACAAUGUUUUUGACAUGAACACAAAGUAGUUCAACACAACACAGUGGGGUCACAUAUUUCGGGACAAAGCAGAUAAGUGGUAUCUUGGACAGGUGCAUAUGAUAAUCAUUUAAUACUGGUCUUAUGACAGUUCUUUCCCAUCAUUUAAUGUUUUAAUUUCUGUAAAUGACCAAUGCAUGUUUGAAUGUUUGGGUAGAGCACCUGCGCAGCAGCAUCUCCAUAGGAAAUGUUGAGUGUGGUCAUGGCUCUCACGAUGGCCAGGAUCGACUGCAGGGUGUUGCUGUAGAUGAUGACAAUGAACUCCAAGCACUCUUCAAGGGAGUAACCAUCUUUGUGAAUAAUUCUGUCAUAGGGGAAAAAAGGUUUUCAUCAGAAGGAGCACUAAUUAGGAAUUAAUAGUGAUUAUAGUCUCACAUAAGGCAAUUCAUUAUUAUAUAUUUUUCUUUAGCACUUACUUCAUCUGUUUGACGAUUGUGCUUUUCCCUGACUCACCAGCACCUGAAGAAGAAAGUAAUCAAUUUAGUGUUGCAGUUAUUUCAAUAUAUACACAUACAUAUAUUAUUCCUGUCAUGGCAAAGCUGAAUUUUGCCAUUCAUUCCUCAUUAUCAUAUGGUUCUUCAGAAAUCAUUCUAAUAUAUCUGAUUUGGUGCUUAAGAACCAUUUUAUUAUCACUGUUGUAAACUUUUUAAAAUACAACUUAAUAUUUCUGUGAUAAACAGUAAACAGUGAUGUGUUUUUUUUUAGCACCAUUUGAUAAACAGAACUUGAUUUGACAAAAAUGUGAUAAUCCUUGGUUGCUUUUUCUUUUACUCUGUCUAUAUUAGAUCACAUUACAUUCACAUACUCCUAUAAACAUCAAAUUCUAGAUUAUCAGCCAACCCCUAAUAUUAUUAAAAAACACAUUUUAUUACAUCCAAAUUUGAAAAAUGAAAAAAUAUAUUUAACAAAUGUAUAACAAUUUUAGCCAUCUGAAAACCACAGAUCGACUAUUUGCCAGUGAUUUGAGGGGUAAAACUGUAGACAUUCACCCAAGUAAGAUUUAUUUAUUGAAGCAUGCAUAUGUGCAUUAAUAAAUACAUCCUUCUUCUAUGCAGUUUAUCUUUUGGAGGAUUACAUUAAGAAGCUUGAGGCUUAUUAUUUUUGUCUUAAGCCUUGUCCAAGCUUGACGUCCUAUGACCCUGACCCACAUCCCCUCACAAAGACGCAUGUUGUUAUGAUAGACAGAGAUAUAACUUUUGUGAAUAUAUAUGCAUACUUUCAUGGCAUAUGGCAUGCAAGUCACUUUUUCAGUCUCUUGCAAUAACAUUUAGAUAUCAAGAAAUAUCACAUUUAGUCAUAAAUUUUCUUCUUGCAUUUGAACUUGACAAAUAUGACAUUUUUAUACAAGCAAAAAAAAAGAUAAAAUAUUACAUUUAUUUUGUAAUCUCUAUGGCCAUGAUGUGAAGUCAUUGCCUGUUUAUGAUGAAGUUUAAAAUGGUAAGGCAAAUCUGCAAAUAUCUUCCCAAUCUAGCAAAUGAGUUAUUCUUAAUGUUUUGACUUGAGCAAUCAUUUGAGUCCGCUUGUGUGUUGUUACCUAGCAGCAGAAGUUUGACGGUCCUGGCAUCUUUGUCGGCGUCCUCUUUCAGUUUCUUCUCUAGCUCCCUGGAGUGUUUCUCCUCGGCGCUCGCCCCGGCCCCCAUACUGACUCUCGAUUAGGGAAAAGAAGUCCUUCUGGAUGACCACUCGCUUGCCCAGAGGCCUCCAGGUGCUCACAGCUCACACCUCGACUGGAUCUUGGUGACCUAAUGAAUUGUUUGGAGUCUUAGAGGGAUUUUGGAGAUGUCUCUGACCACCUGGGUUGGUGGGGCCAAUGAAGAGCAAGGACAGAAGGCAUUGGAAGCGCGGAGAGGUCAUCUAACCUCAGAUUUGAGGAGAAGGUGCUGUGCUCAGCAAAAGGUGGUAAUCUGGCCAGCGUUUUCACGAGCACAUUAGAAGGGCCAUAGAGACAGUGAGUGAAAUAAUGUGACGUUACUAACAUCACUUGUUUGUUUGUUAUAUAUUUAAGAGAGAAACUAACGGUAAACGGGUCUCAUAAAUGAUUGGAUAUGUUGGCUUUCCCAUAUCUAUAUUCUGUUGAAAAUGGGCUUAACUUCAAGAAAAAAGAACAACAUCUCUAUUCCCUACAGUUUGGGCUUUAUCAGUAGAACUUUUACUGAAUGCAAAGCUGUUUUUAAAGAUGAAUAUUACAUGAGUAAUUCUAAUCUCACUUUCCCACUGUAGUCAUCAGGAUCAGUUGACAUUUUCCUUGUUGUGGACACAGUGUGCAGAGCAAGUGUUUAAAGAGCUUUAGUCUUUUACGUGACAGAGCUCAUUGACCCCAAUCUGAAGAUUGAUACAUUUUAAUCCACAGGCAUCACAUGUGAGAGAGAGGCUUUCUUCAUUAGAAACAGUAGCGAUUCAUUUCAAUAUUAUGAAAGUUUUUUUUCCCCAAGUUAAUCAUCAUAAAAACUAGUAUUUUUAUUGUAUGUAACUUUUGUCACAUACAAUUACAAAAUCUCUUUCUUGGCAAAGAAAUGUUAUCCAUAAAACAUCUAUUACACAAAUGGUUCUUUAAGAUGGAAAAGGUUUUUAAGAUGUUCUUCAUGCAAGAAAAAAAAAAUAGUUUAAGAACUCCUCGCUGCAUGGGUCUUUGGAGAACCAAAAUUGGUUCUUCUUUUGGAACUUUUGCUUUUAAGAGUCUGAUAAUGACAAAAAUGUUUGAUAGAUUUAUCAGUUUGUAAUCCAAAAAGAAAGUUCCGUUUGUGUUUUUUCUAUUCAGUGAUAAGAUUUGUACAAAAUAAGUACACAAAUAUUAAUUAAAAAUAAUGUGUUACGUGUUUGCUAGUAGCAAAAGUGUUAGCCAUUUUCUCUUUCUAUUUAGACAGAAAGGUGAAAUGAAUGGCAGAGGUGAAAUAGUGCAGCAUAAAAUCUUCUAAACUGAACUUUAUAUAUACUAUAUAUACAAAUCACACUUGAUCUUGUGAAUGACAAUGUAAAGUUCGCGAACAGUUUAAAUCAAGUAAGCAAAUAAGACCAACUUGCGAACCUAUUCCUUAUUCACUCAAACCUUUUUGGUUACAUCGAGACUGCAGAAGAAAAGUACAGGUAUAAGUAUAGGUUCACCCAGUGACAUUUACUCAAAAGCCAACCUGUAUUUGUUAUAAAAUAUAUAACUUUAAUUAGUCAACAACAACGAUGAAAAAAAAACUAAACAAAUAAAAAAUACAUUACUAUAAUAUUAACUGUUCAUAACAUCUAAUUCUGGAUCUUUUUCACAUUAGAAUAUCCUAAAAAAGACAAAACAAGGGGACAAACCACAGUGAUGAAUAAUGUGUUACAAAUGAAAGAAAAAAAUACAUUUACAACAACCAUUUCACACAGCCCGUUUGCUAUGCGUGUUGAGAAAACGCAACGGAGGCCAAACAGACACAUCAGGUAAUUGUGCUUGAUUCCAUCACUAGUUCGGCAAAGUCCUCUGUCUUUAGAAAACAGUCUCUCUCUCGAUUCAUUAUGUCAAAGACCAUACAGCAACACAGCAAUAUCCAGAAUUUGACUACAUAUCUGUACAGUACAAAUACAAUUCAUGCAAACUCAAACAAGCCCCCAAAUGAUUAAUGCUUCCAAAUGAUCACCUAUUAAAUGUUUAGAGGUGCUUGCAAUGGACGCUUACUCUGGAGAGGUACAUAUUUAAAAACGAUUCUGCUUUGCAAAAAGAUGGAGAGGUUUUGAACCCCCAGCUUUUUGAGAUUUUUUGCGUGCAAUAGUACGUAUUUAUAUGAAUGAAAAGGACAAAAAGAAGUGAUGUACAUACUGUACAGGAGGCUGCAAUCAAUAAUAAACCAAACGGAUAACACACAGAAACGACUUUAUAUUUAACACACAUUAGCAUAGCAACAUAUGGAAGAUCAAGAAGAUUAAAAGAUGAGUUUCCAAUGAUAUUAAAGAGUUUUUCCAAGUCUUUUGAGAGGUCACAGAAUACUCAGAUGCAUCAAAUAUAUGUAGAAAUCCUUUAUCCGUACAUCUGCAGAACGAGAACACGUGCUUGGCUAAAACAGUCCGCUAAAUGUACGACGGCUUCAGUCCCAUCUUUCCUCUGGUAUCAAAACAUCAAGUGCAGUCGAACUGUCCAUCAAGAGUUUCCGACUAUCCGGUUAAUGGUAUAUACAUCAAGUUUUAUGAUAACAGUCACAUGGUGUAUUAUUAUUAUUAUGCGAAUACCGUUGUAAUAAAUAUAUUGGAAGAAAA